UGCGUACUGAUGUUGUUUAUCAUCUUAACAACAUGUUUUAUUGUUCUUUCAUUUGUUUUUGUUAUAGUAUUAAUAUUACUUUUACUGUUGAAUGGUUUUAUGUGAUAUCAGUUUGACGUGGCUCGGUACUUAUACAUCUCGUCAAUGUGUUUGUAUUGGCUUUCAUUUUUUUGUGGUUUGUUUUGUAUAUGCGACUUUUUGUAUUUCUUUUCUUCUUAUUACGUGACUGUAAUUUAAAAGAUCCCGUCAGUAUUAUAUUGGUCUAUUAUAUGUCAUUAUGAUAUAUUUCUAUUAUGAAUUACUAUAUACGUUGAACCACAAACGUCAAAAUCAUUCAAUCGCGUAGUG
rnacentral:lncRNA from 1 species